rnacentral:rRNA from 1 species
UUUGGAUCCUGGCUCAGAACGAACGCUGGCGGCAUGCCUAACACAUGCAAGUCGAACGAGACCUUCGGGUCUAGUGGCGCACGGGUGCGUAACGCGUGGGAAUCUGCCCUUGGGUUCGGAAUAACAGUUGGAAACGACUGCUAAUACCGGAUGAUGACGUAAGUCCAAAGAUUUAUCGCCCAAGGAUGAGCCCGCGUAGGAUUAGCUAGUUGGUGAGGUAAAGGCUCACCAAGGCGACGAUCCUUAGCUGGUCUGAGAGGAUGAUCAGCCACACUGGGACUGAGACACGGCCCAGACUCCUACGGGAGGCAGCAGUGGGGAAUAUUGGACAAUGGGCGAAAGCCUGAUCCAGCAAUGCCGCGUGAGCGAUGAAGGCCUUAGGGUUGUAAAGCUCUUUUACCCGGGAUGAUAAUGAC